UACGAAGGGGGCGAGCGUUAUUCGGAAUCACUGGGCGUAAAGCGUGCGUAGGCUGUUCAGAAAGUCAGGAGUGAAAGCCCAAGGCUCAACCUUGGAAGUGCUCUUGAAACUUCUGGACUAGAAUUCAGUAGAGGAUAGCGGAAUUCCCAGUGUAGCAGUGAAAUGCGUAGAUAUUGGGAGGAACACCAGUGGCGCAAGCGGCUAUCUGGACCGAUACUGACGCUGAGGCGCGAAAGCGUGGGGAGCAAACAGG
rnacentral:rRNA from 1 species